UGGCGGGGUGUGCGCGUGCUCAAAGGUCGGGUCGGAGGAGUCUUCGCUUUUGCCACCGCUAGGAUAAUCAAGCAAAACAGAGAUGAGCUUCAUCCAUGGACUGCAGUCUGCUGCUAGAAACUGUGUUUUCUUCCGCUUCAGUUUACUGACCAACUGGAGAAAAUGUCACACACUAGCUGUAACUUCACUGGACUAUCCUCAAGUGAAAAUUAACCGUACAGUAAAUAAGUCUCAAGACCUGGGACUAAAUCAGGGUGAUAGACUGACUUUUCUUCCUGAAAACUAUCAUUUCUAUAGGACUUUUAAUAGCAAAAGAACAGGAUGCUUCUUGAGCACCAGCAUUAAGGAAAUUGGGAUGGUUUCCCAAAAAUGUACUGCCUGGAAUAACUCUUUUUCUAGACAGCAUCUGAGGAAAGAAAUUCCAGGAGUUUCUCCUCUUUCAGUAUCUUGUCCUCUAAACUGUUUGCCCGUAAGUGACCUCAGGAGUUUCCAUACUUCUCCACGGUUUCAAGCUGCUCCAGUUCCUCUCUUGCUGAUGAUUCUUAAACCAGUGCAGAAACUACUUGCAAUCAUUGUGGGCAGGGGCAUAAGAAAAUGGUGGCAGGCACUUCCUCCUAACAAGAAGGAACUAUUUAAAGAAAGUAUAAGGAAGAAUAAAUGGAAGUUAUUCCUUGGUUUGAGUAGUUCUGGAUUGCUCUUUGUAGUGUUUUAUUUUACUCACCUGGAAGUGAGUCCAGUCACAGGAAGGCGCAAGCUACUAUUAUUGGGGAAAGAACAUUUCAGACUUUUAUCAGAACUGGAAUAUGAAGCAUGGAUGGAAGAAUUUAAAAAUGAUAUGCUUCCUGAGAAAGACGCCCGAUAUGUGACUGUUAAAGAGGUGGUUCAUCAUUUAAUUGAAUGCAAUAAAGAUAUUCCAGGGAUCUCUGAGAUCAAUUGGAUUAUUCAUGUGGUUGAUUCCCCAGAUAUAAAUGCCUUUGUGCUUCCAAAUGGACAAGUGUUUAUCUUCACUGGGCUUUUAAAUAGUGUGACUGAUAUUCAUCAGCUUUCCUUCCUUCUGGGCCAUGAAAUUGCACAUGCAGUACUUGGGCAUGCUGUAGAAAAGGCUAGCUUGGCUCAUUUAUUGGAUUUCCUAGGUCUGAUUUUUCUCACAAUGAUCUGGGCCAUUUGUCCUCGAGAUAGUUUGGCACUUUUGGGCCAGUGGAUACAGUCUAAAUUGCAGGAGUUUAUGUUUGAUAGACCAUACAGUAGAACACUGGAGGCCGAAGCUGACGAAAUUGGACUACAGCUUGCUGCAAAGGCUUGUGUGGACGUCAGAGCCAGUUCAGUGUUUUGGCAGCAGAUGGAAUUUGCAGACAGCAUCCAUGGUCAUCCCAAGUUGCCAGAAUGGUUAUCUACACAUCCUUCUCAUGGAAAUCGAGCCGAGUCCUUGGAUAGACUCAUACCUCAGAAGGCUAACCGGAAUGUGUCUUCAAGAGGAAUCUAUAUAGAACAAUGAAGAAGGAACUCAGACCAGCCAAGUCAACUCUAAUGGAAUAAAAGAUAUUGCAGCCACAUUUUUAUCCUACUCAAGAGUAGAUUUACAAGGUAGCAUUUCUCAAGAUGGGUUUUUAGAAGAAUCAUGCGUGAGAGCCCGAUGUGAAGAUCACUGGAUAGUUAAAUUUAUCAAGUGUUCAAUCUUCAUUGCAAAGACAGGCCCUUACAAGUUGCCAAGGUCUAAGGAGAAAAUUUAAAAACACGUUAAGAGUAAGAAUGACUCCCCAUAAGAUGCGUUCCCUUCUCCGUCAGCAUUCCACUACCCUUGUGAAAGUCACCGUAUUCUCUCCCCUAGGUUAACGACAGCAUCUCCUGUUCUGAUUUUCUUGUUCCACUCUUCACCUCAGUCCCUAACAACCUAUUUUCAGUACAGUAGUCAGAAUGCUCUUUUUAAUGUCAUUUCGCUUCUUAAACCCUUACAUUGGCUUCUCAUUUAACUUUGAAUAAAAAUCCAAACUCCUUACUGGGUCUUUAAAUCAUGUGAUUUGGCCACUGCCUGCUUCUCCAGCUUCUUCACUCGGCGCCCUCCGCAGGUUUCCCUCGAUCCCCGCGAUUUGAUGUGGAGUUUGUUUCCUGCUUACAGCUCCUCUGCUUGCUGACUUCUCUGUCUGGAAUGUUCUUCUCUCAGCUCUUUGCACAAAUGUCAUGUCCCUGGGGAGGCUUUUCCUGUCCCCCAAUUUCAAAUAGCCUUCCUUCCGUGUAGUCAUUCUGUAACACAGUUUAUUAUUUAAUUUUUUAUUGUACUUAGCUAAAACUACCUUGUUUACUUGUUUAUUAUCUAUCUCCUCUCCUAGAAUGGAAGGCCCCUGUUCAGUGCGGUCUCCCUAGUGCCUGGGACAGUUUCUGAGAUGUUUAGUGAAUAUUUGUUAAAUUACUGCAUCAUGGAUAAUAAUAGGAAAGACAAAUAAUAAAAUAUUAGGUUAAAAAUGGAAAAGUUGGGCAGUGCAAUUGAAUAGCAGUUACAUUCUCUCAUGGAAAUGUAGCAUGUAGCAAAUUAGUAGUGGGAAGAGGGUGCUUAUAGGAAAUAGUGAAAAAAUAGCAGUGGUCUAGGGAGUUUUGUGUUUAAAAUUCUGACAUACCCACCUGACUUUGAGGAAGUUAUCUAAUCUAACCUUCAGCCUUCUUCAUCUAUAACACCGGGAUAACAAUGUCUCCUGAAUGUUUUAUGUAUAUAGUUGUAUGUUUGUGUGGGUAAGAUCCUGCCCUUCCCUCUUGCCUUUUUCCCUCUCUUCUUCCCUCCCUCCCUUAUAAGACACUUUAAUGGUAAGUAUUUCACACUGAGCCCAAGAUUUGAAAAGUGGUUCAUAAUAACACCCAUUUAGAGAACAUUAAAAUACCAGGCACAAUGUAAAGCACAUAGAAAAUGGACAGUAAGUGUUAGUUCUUUUCACUCCUGGUUGGAAUCUUUAGGUAGCUAAUUCCAUAUUUAACUCCAGAUCUUCCUUGGGAUUCUUAGAGCUAUAUAUCCCUGUUGUUAGAGUACAUUCCUGCUUUCUCAUAGACUGUAAACUCUUAAGAGUGUUUUUCCUAUGACAUUUAUCAUAAUGAUUUAUUCAUAGCUUGCAUUCUAUAAAUGUUUGUUUAGAGUUCAGCAUGCAUUUAUUAAGUACCUAUUAUGUGCAGUGCAUGAUGUUAAACACAGAAAACAAAAUAAAGGAGAUAGAAAGACAUAUUCUAGCUGUACAGUGGGAAAAUGUUUACUUUUAAAGAGAUGAAGGCAUAUUUAAUAAGAUGGAUUUGAAUUUAUAAAAGUAAAAGAUGUUGACACCCUGAAAUGUAAUAAAAAUAAAUGUGGAAAGGAAAGUGAAAAAAAGAAUAUUUUACCACCAUAUGUGAUAAAAUCUUACUAUGCAAAAUAGGUGAAGAUUUGAUGGAAAUAUGUAUGGUCUGUAACAGGAUUCUGUGUGAUAAGUAGAGGAGAAAAACAGUUCAUACAUGAAGAAAUAGCAAUAGAAAACUUUUACAAAGAAUAUGUAGUUUUUCUAACAAUUAAGGAAACAUAGCUCAGAUAUCUCCAAAGUACAUUUUAUUCAGUAAAAGAUUUACUCAAGACACAUAUAGUGUGGUGCAAAAAAAAUUAGUAUAAACACAUGUAAUGCAAAAGCAUUAAAAAACAAAAACAAAAGUGUGUUCUUAUCCCUUUUUUCCUAGCCUUUUUACUUCCAUGCUAGUUUUUUAGAAAAUAGACUUUAUUUUUAAGAGCAGUUACAGGUUCACAGCUAAAUUGAGUGGAACGUACAGAAAUUUCCCAUGUACCUCUUGCUUUCAUAUAGAUACAGCCUCCCCCCACUAUCAAAAUCCUGCACCAGAGCGGUGCAUUUGUUACAACAGAUGAAUCUUCAUUGACCUAUCAUUACAGCCCAAAGUCCAUAGUUUACAUUAGAGUUCACUUCCAGUGUUGUACACUCUGUGGGUAUGUAUAGUGUAUAAUGACAUGUCUUUAUCAUUAUAGUGCCACAUAGAGUAGUUUCGUUGCCCUAAAAAUACUCUAUGCUCUGCCUGUUUAUCCCUCUCUUCCCCCUAACCCCUGACAACCAUGAAUCUUUUUAGUGUCUUUAUAGUUUUGCCUUUUUCCAGAGUGUCAUGUAUGUAACUGGAAUCAUACACUAUGUGGCCUUUUCAGAUUUUUUUUUUAACUUAAAAACAUGCAUUUAAGAGUCCUCUAUGUCCUUCUAAGGCUUGAUAACUUAUUUCUUCUUACUGCUGAAUAAUAUUCCAUUGUCUGGUUGUAACACAGAUUAUUUAUCCAUUAAACUAAAGGACAUUGUGGUUGCUUCCAGGUUUGGGCAAUUACAAGUAAAUAAAUUAAUAAACAAGCACCAAGCAGUUUUUUGUUCCCUGCCAGUAGCUUAACCUCUCUAGGGCUCAAUUUCCUCAACUGUAAAAUUUAGCUGAUGAUUUCUAAGGAUUCUGAGUCUUAAAAUGAUGUGGUUAUCUAGACAGAAAAAUAAUCAAAUCUUACGUUGUACUGAUUAUGAAUAACUCAGGUAUGUAUGCCCGUAUGCUGAUAACAUGAUAAGUUGGUAAAGACUUUCUGGUGGUAAACAGUCUGGUCCUAUAUAACAAAAAUUAUACUCUGUUCUUACUCUUUGUUCAGAUCAUUCUAUUUUGGGGAUAUCCUUCAAGUAAACUCAAAUGGAGAUUUUAAAAUAACCUUUUCUUUUUAAGCAAACGUUUUUGUAGCAGGGUAAUUUAUAAAAGCCAAACAAAGCAAAACCAUGAAAACAAUUUAAAUGCCCAGUGGUGGGGAAAUGCAAAAAUAAGCUGCAUGAGGGCAGGGAUCGUGACUGUUCUGAUCGGUGUAUACCUAGCACCUUACUCAGUUUGGUGUUCUAAAUAUUCGCUGAAUGUAAAAAUACUGGUAAGAUAACUUAAGGGAGAGAGAAGAGCUUUUACUAAAUAGGAAAGAUUGUAGGAGGCAGCACUCCCCUUCGGUUUGUUUGCCACUUUGCGUCUCUCACUGCCACACUCAGCUGUGCCAGCUGUUACCUGCUGAACUCCCCGCUGGGCCCCUUUCCUGAAACCACUGAAGGCCUUCGGCGUGUGUUGUAGCAGCCAUGAGGUGGCUUCUCACGUGGAAAAGAACAACGGAGUUGUAAAGGAGUUAAAGCAAGAGUCGACUCUGUGUCCCAGUUUGGCCAGGACAGUCUCAGUCUGCCUGGUGUCUCAGUGUAAAUCUUCUUUUAUAGCAUUUCCUUUCUCUCGCAAAGAUAUCCUGGUUUGGACAGUAGGUCACCGUUCAGCUGAGGGUCUGACUUUCUCUUUACGUCAGUGCUAUAGUUGGGAAACAUUUUCUUGUUUUUUCUGUUCAGUUUACUUCGAUGAACAUUUACUUAAACUUAAUAGACGUUAAGAUACGUUUUACUCUUGUAUUUUGAUAUACAAAGAAAGUUCAGACAAGGCCUCUGUCACCGAAGAAUUUCACUUGCAUGCUUUUUCCUCUUUAGUUUAUUUGGGUAACUCAUAGCCUCUUUCAGAGUCAGAAGUCUCCUAGACCCAAGCUCCUGCCCUGGCCUCAGCCAUUUAAAAGACUUUUCUGGUUUGCCUCUGGUUGUAUGCCCCCCUGUCCUGUGGGGCCUGAGGGAACAUUCCCUAAGAACCUGUGCCCCACCACAUGGCACUCUGGUAUUUGGGAUAAUGGAAUUCCUCAUCCAAACACUUUUGAGCCUGCUUGCAGGGCCUGUGUGGACCUCUUCCCUUGGACGGCUGUACGCAAGGCCCCUCCCAGGGCCAGGUAAGCCAGGGCUGGGAGGAGGAGGGAGUGGACAGCAGGCCAGUGGCAGCAGCUGGGGUCGGCUCCCUGUAACUUUAUGCACUCCAAAAUUCAAGAAUUCUAAUUUUGUCCCUGGCCAUUAGGGCCAUUUUGAAUGUCUGUUCCUCAAAGCAGAACAGAGCAUUUUUCCUGUAGUUGUUUUAGAUGUUUAAACAUAUGGUAUCUGAGCCUCCGUUUGCAUUCUUGGCAUGGACCACGCAAACAUCAGGGGCAGGCCCACUCAGAGUAAAACCCAGAAUCCUUACUGAGACCUGUGCGAUCCCACGUAAUCUGCUCCUGCCUCCUACCCCAUUGUGCUGCAGCUGUACUGGCUUCCUCACCGUCCGGAACACUCCAGCCACACUCCCGUCGCAGGUUCUGGCACUCACAGCUGCUGCUUGGAAUUCUCUUCUUCUCGGUACCCAUGUGACUUCUUCCCUCGUGUCCUUGUCCUUUAGGUCUCCCCCCUGCCCUGACAAAGCCCUUGUUUUAUCAGUGAGACCUUGUGUACCCUGUAUAUCUAAAAUUUUACUACUUCUCCAAACGCCGACUGUCCCCUUCUCCGCUUACUUCCCUUAACAUGCCUCACUAUCAAAACAUUAGAAAUAGUAAAAAACCAAGCCAGCUUUUAGCCCUAAACAUCUUUCUUUUAAAACCUUUUAGGUAUUAAGACUUUUUUUCCUUUAAAAAUUGCUAUUUUAGUUUUUAUGUCUGAAAGUCCCUACCUGCCCUCAGUUUCAAGGGUAAUAAUUUCCAGCUCUCUUACAUGAUUCUUUUGUUAUUUCCCACUAUGUCUAUGUAACAUGCUUAUAUUGCUACUUCCUAACUUUUGAGUUCUAGGCAUUAUCUAUUUAUUUUUCCCCGUGAAUUAUGCUCUCCCUUAUCAGCGUCACACCCUGUGCAUGCACACACAUAUAUCCAGCCCUCCCCCUUCCAAUUAUGGUUAAGUUGUAAUUUUGGUUAGGUAAAGAUUCAAUUUUUAAAAAAUUGGUCACUAGUCACAGUAGUGUACUGUGAUUACUUUUAUUUUUCCUGCAGCAUUUUACUUUUCCUGGCAUUAAAAAUUGCCAUGGUUUUGAUUUGUUUGCUUUCCUCGGUUAUUACAUCAGUUCUAUCCCAGACUGUUCCAGUUAUGGAUAUCUUCUUUCAGUGCAUUCACAUCUAUUUUCAGUUGUUUUCUUUUUCUUGAAAAAAAUCUGAGUCUUCAGAUCUUCUCUAAUCUGAAUGUUGUUCUCAGUGUUGGCUCAGGUUUGACAAAUUAUAGAGAUACCUCUAAGAGGUCUUGUUUAUCUCCAGCAGGACAGUGGACAACUGCAGAUACAGUUGGGUUUUUUUGAAAAUAUUUUCUUAUAUGAAUAAAUCAUGAAAAUGUAACUAUUUACCUUGAAUUUAUAUAAAAUUCUCUUUUCAUAUGUUGUAAGAUAAGUUUUAUUCCAAAAAUACAGAAUAUAUUCUUAUAUUUCAUUGUUUUGCAUAGAGCAUAUUAGGAAUUACUGGGAUAACUUUAAUAAAGUUAUAUGUGUGUAUAUACUUUGUAUUGUAUUCUUU